ACCCUACAUAAUCCAAGCUCUUCCGUGCGUAACGCUGAGUCCACAAUCCGCGAAUUUCUUUACCUAUAAAUUGGAACUCAGUGUUGUCGGCUUCAAGUUCUCUCUUAGUUUCCGUCUCUUCAUUUCCCAGACCCUUUUCUCUGCUUCCUCUCUAUAUUUUUCCUUUUUUUUUUGUUUAUAUGGCAUCUCAAGCCAGCCUCCUCCUUCAAAAGCAGCUCAAAGAUCUUUGUAAGAAUCCGGUUGAUGGGUUCUCAGCCGGAUUGGUUGAUGACAGCAAUGUUUUCGAAUGGAGUGUUACAAUCGUCGGACCACCUGAUACUUUUUAUGAAGGGGGAUUUUUCAAUGCCAUCAUGAGCUUUCCACCUGAUUACCCAAACAGCCCUCCAACAAUGAAAUUUACAACAGACGUUUGGCAUCCUAAUGUUUAUACUGAUGGCACUGUUUGCAUAUCAAUUCUUCAUCCUCCGGGUGAUGAUCCAAACGGCUACGAGCUUGCAAGUGAGCGUUGGAUGCCAAUCCAUACUGUUGAAAGUAUUGUUUUGAGUAUCAUAUCAAUGCUUUCCAGCCCUAACGACGAAUCUCCCGCGAAUGUUGAAGCUGCUGUAAGUAGUCAUUGAUCGUCUUGAUUCAUAUAUAUUCCUUCCUUGGUGCACUUUGGGCUAUUGAUUUCUGCAGUUGCAUAAGGAAUGGAGAGAGAACAGAGAUGAAUUCAGGAAGAAGGUUAGCCGCUGCGUGAGACGGUCACAGGAAAUGUUAUGAUCUGUUGGUCUACAAUGUGUACCCCAGGGAUCCAAGACUUGUUGAAUGCCAGCUUCUAUACUAUAUAAUUUUGAUCGGAUUUGGAUGAAUAUAAGAUUAUAUAUAAUGAAAUAUGUUCAUUUUUUCGUAUCCUGAAAGAUAAUAUUGUUACUUGUCGAACAUUAAUACGUAAGAAAGGAGAUUGAUUGGAUAUUCA